UGACAGGUGAGUAGAGGGGACUGGAGAUGCCAGGGGACAGGUGAGUAGAGGGGACUGGAGACACCAGAAUACAGGUGAGUAGAGGGGACUGGAGAUGCCAGGGGACAGGUGAGUAGAGGGGACAGGUGAGUAGAGGGGACAGGUGAGUAGAGGGGACAGGUGAGUAGAGGGGACAGGUGAGUAGAG